UACGGAGGGAGCUAGCGUUGUUCGGAAUUACUGGGCGUAAAGCGCGCGUAGGCGGCUUUGUAAGUUAGAGGUGAAAGCCCGGGGCUCAACCCCGGAACUGCCUUUAAGACUGCAUCGCUUGAAUCCAGGAGAGGUGAGUGGAAUUCCGAGUGUAGAGGUGAAAUUCGAUAGAUAUUCGGAAGAACACCGAGUGGCGAAGGCGGCUCACUGGACUGGUAUUGACGCUGAUGUGCGAAAGCGUGGGGAGCAAACAGGGAUUAAGAA
rnacentral:rRNA from 1 species